UGAGGAAUAAGCUUUGUAGGUGAGGAAUAAGCUUUGUAGGAAAUGACAAAGCGAUGACGUUAAUUUAUGAAUAAGCCCCGGCUAAUUACGUGCCAGCAGCCGCGGUAAUACGUAAGGGGCGAGCGUUGUUCGGGAUCAUUGGGCGUAAAGGGUGAGUAGGCGGAUAUGCAAGUCUAUGUGUCACAUGCCACAGCUCAGCUGUGGAACUAUGCUGGAAACUGCAUGACUAGAGUCUGAUAGGGGAAGUUAGAAUUCCUGGUGUAAGGGUGGAAUCUGUUGAUAUCAGGAAGAAUACCAGAGGCGAAGGCCAACUUCUCCGACAAGACUGACGCUGACUCACAAAAGCAACGCUGAGUCACGAAAGCA
rnacentral:rRNA from 1 species